rnacentral:rRNA from 1 species
UACAGAGGGUGCAAGCGUUAAUCGGAAUUACUGGGCGUAAAGCGUGCGUAGACGGUUAUGUAAGUCAGGUGUGAAAGCCCCGGGCUCAACCUGGGAAUUGCAUUUGAGACUGCAUAGCUAGGGUGCGGAAGAGGGAAGCGGAAUUUCCGGUGUAGCGGUGAAAUGCGUAGAUAUCGGAAGGAACAUCAGUGGCGAAAGCGGCUUCCUGGUCCAGCACCGACGUUCAGGUACGAAAGCGUGGGGAGCAAACAGG